rnacentral:lncRNA from 1 species
GUUGGAGCCUGAUCUAAGGGAGCAGCAGAGGAAUAGGGUCGAAAACUAUCUUUUUUUUUCAGCCACCAGAGCCUGGAUUACAUGAAAAGAUGAUCUGUAUAUCUACAUUCACAUUUCAAGGGAUUAAUUUACAUCAGCUGGCUUAUCUGGCCUUGAGAAAGGUUUAUAAAAUGGCCCUCACCUCUGAUUUUCUCUGCAGGUCACACUUGCAAAUAAAAGCAAAUAGAAAUUGCUUGCACCCUUGUCAACCAUGCUGCAACAGUUCACUGGCCAGUGUGACAACAGUGCCAUGCCUUUGUUGUUUGGGGGUCUGGGCAGUGAGGAAGACAGAGGAACAAGGGGUGACACUAGCUAACAUCUGCCAAAUACAGCUGUGUUCGGAAUCUCACAUGUGUUUUCUCAUGUAUUUUCCAUAGGCUUCCACUCAUUAUGACCCCAUUUUAUAGAUGAGGAAGCCGAAAAGGGAAAUAAUAGCAAGAAGUUGGCCAGGCCAGUAUAUGAAUUAGGGCCUUAUUUCUAAAAUGCCUGGCUCUACGGCCUAGCAGAAUGGGAAGAUGUUUAUAUUCAGGAUGUUGCUGUGGUUUUUGCACCCAAUGACUUCCUGUUAAUUGAACUGCAGCUUUAUAAGUAUGUGGAGUGGGGGAGGGGAGCACAUGUAUGCCUGUGUCUAGCAAGCAGUUUUGUCCAGUCAGUGGAUUUAACUUGAGCAAACUGUGUGUAAUGGGCCCUACCAGUAACAAACCAGGACGUUUGAGCAGAGUAGUUUAGAGUUUAUAAUUGGCUUCCUAUUACUGUUGGCUGAUUCUCUUGCACAUAGAGUUUUACUCCAGGAUUGGUAUUUGACUUAAGAAAUUUUCAAAUUGAUUUUAUCUUUAGUGCAUUAAUGCGUGGCCUAAAUUCCUGCAGAGGCAUUAGAUAACCAGCCUGGACAUGCUUUAGCAAUCGUAACUGGAUCUGAGCUGCCAGUGCCACAGCUUUUAUUCAGCAUAGAUAAAGCACUUUUCUGAAAGCACUUUUCUUCCUAAGUCCUGUGACUUAUUUUUUUAGGGUACCUCAAGUUUAGGCCCCUUGAAAUUGGAAUAUAUUCCCCCAAAUCAUGUUAAAACACACAAAUGGGAAUUUGUUAACAUCGGUAGAUUUAAUUUUUAGCUUCCUGUCAGAAUGGAACACAUAAAUAUUCAAGGAAUGGUGUGGAAAUCAGCCUAAUUUUCAAGGGUGCACAAUUGUAAUGUCUUUUAAAGUCAGGAAAUAUGAAAUGUGGCUCUAGUAACGAAAGCACUAUAAAUGUAGCUGAGUACAUGAAAAACUGGAAGGUAUUCUGCAGCUUCCUGGGGAUUAGCAUAGGUAAAUGUUUUUAGGGGAAAAAAUUUUUUUUCAGCUCUAGAAGUGCAGAAUGGAUCCCAGCUGUCUGAAAAUACCAAUUAAUCAUCUUCUAAUGCUUUUAUGCAAAUGAUUAUAUUUGACUUUCAUUUAGAAUUGCCAUUAACACCUGGAACCCUAAGAUUGAUAACAGGUAAAAUUUUAAUGAAUACAUAAAUUAAAGAUUUGAAUCAUGUUUAGAUUAAUUUAUAGCAUUUUAUUCAUUAUAAGUCCUCCUGAAAUGUAAAAAUCACAGGAUGAGACAGAAAAUAGAGAAGAGGAAACAGCCUUUGAACUUAUCCAUUUUUUUACUGGUGAAAAAGGAUGACUUGGGAAUACUAAAUUCUGCAAAUGUUUUUUCUGCCCUUUGCAAUCAUUUACUCAGGUGAUAGGCCUGUGUACUUACCACAGAAGACUGUAAAAUUUUUCUAAUGCCCUGAGACAACACUGGCCUUUUAAAUUUUUUUUAUUUUUAUUUUUAAAAAAUAUUUUAUUUAUUUGACAGAGAUAGCACAUAUGAGCACAAGCAUGGGGAGAGGCAGAGGGAGAGGGAAAAGCAGACUCCGUGCUGAACAGGACUGUGGGAUCAUGACCUGAGCCAAAGGUAGAUGCCUAACUGACUGAGCCACCCAGGCACCCCUGUUUUUAUUUUGUUUUUAAUGAAUAUUUUCCUUCCUAUGCACCUUCCUUGCUUUAAAAAAUAUUUUUUCGGAAUGAAUGUAAAAAUAGGGUCAUUGUAGACGUUUUGGGAAAUAUAGAGGAAGUAAAGAAAAACAGCACGGUCCUACCAUCCAGGGACAACUGUUGUUAACAUUAUGAUGUAUUCCUUUCUCCUCCUCUCCUCCCCCUGCCAUGUGUAAUUAUAAUUUUAUAAUUAUGUAUAAAUCAUACAUAUUUUUUUCUUUUUUUACUACACAGCCACAGUAAUAUUUAUAAUUUAAAAAAAUAUUUAUUUAUCUAUUCAUUCAGAGAGAGAGACACACACACACAGGCAGAGACACAAGCGGGCUCCACCCAAGAAGCCUGACGUGGGACUCGAUCCCAGGUCUCCAAGAUCAUGCCCUGGGCUGCAGGCGGCGCUAAACCGCUGCUCCACUGGGGCUGCCCAAUAUUUAUAAAUUGAAACCUUACCAUAUUCCAGGCACUGUGCUUAGUGUUUUAGGUAUUUUUUUCUGUUUUUAAAGAUUUUAUUUAUUUAUUCAUGAAAAACACAGAAAGAGGCAGAGACAUAGGCAGAGGGAGAAGCAGGCUCUCUGUGAGGAGCCUGAUGUGGGACUCAAUCCCAGUACCCCAGAAUCACCACCUGAGCCAAAGGUAGACACUCACCCACUGAGCUACCCAGGUGCCCCAGUUUAUUACCUUUUGAGUGUUAGGUCAUUCUCCAUUUUAUGGAUUAGAUGAAAGCUCACAGGGUGGAACAUGGCUUGCCCAGUAUCACUCAUCCAAGAAGCAGCAGAGCCGGAAUCCUAACCUGAAAUGUCUAACUCAAGAACCCUGAUCAUCUCACUGCACUAUGCUCCCCUUGAACUCAAUAAGAGGAAGCUAUUAGAAUUAGCUGAAACCACGUUGUUCCCUGAGGACACUGCUUUCUCUGGGACCUCAAAAGUACAGGUGAGAUGAGGGCUCAGCAAUCCAUAUGGGGCCAUGUCCAGACCAUUGCUCUUCCACCGUUGGGUAAUACCAGCUUGAGACAGUUACCAUCAGGUUGUUACAGCCACUACCCUUCCUUGCUGCUGUCUUCUGUUACCCUCCCCAUCACUCAGUGCAUGGAGUUCUUUGGCUCUUGAAGGCCACCCCUAGUCAUUCUCAUCCUGGGCAAAUUUAGUGCAUCAUCAGGCCUUUCAUCAUUGAAGGCCUUUGCUACCUUAACUCCAAUGACUCAUUUCUAGGAGUAAGACUGUUCUGGCUCUGCUGGAGUCAGGAGGUUAAAUGAUAUGUGUGUGUGUACCCACACACAUAAUAAUUUACUAUACAUUUUACUGAUAUAAAGGUUGUAUAACCUACAGUUUAAAAAUAAUAAAAUAUGUAUUACUCUUUAUUGUAAAUUCUAUGUAGCCAAUAGAUUCUCUCUUUUUAAAAGAUUUUAUUUAUUUGAGAGAGAGUGUGUGGGAGAGAGCAUGAGGCUGGUGGGGAUUGGGAUGGGGAAGGGGCAGAAAGAGCGGGAGAGAAGCAGACUCCCCUGGUGUGGAACCCAAUGUGGGGCUUGACCUCACCACCCUCAGUUUGUGAUCUGAGCUGAAACCAACAGUCAGACACUUAACCAACUGAGCCAGCCACCUAGGUGCCCCCAGCUGAUUCUCACAGAACACUUUUGUUCAUUUUUGCCAAACUUAUAUCCUAGCCAAUCUAUGGUUGCACUUGACAAACCCAACAUAAGUGUUGUUUGAAAUUUUCCUCUAUGUUAAAGACUCAAAAGUAAAAAAA